rnacentral:rRNA from 1 species
AGCGAACGCUGGCGGCAUGCCUAACACAUGCAAGUCGAGCGCUCCCAGCAAUGGGGAGCGGCGGACGGGUGAGUAACGCGUAGGAACGUAUCCUGAGGUGGGGGAGUAACCCUGGGAAACUAGGGCUAAUACCGCAUGAUGGCGAGAGCCCAAAGAUUUAUCGCCUUGGGAGCGGCCUGCGUCUGAUUAGCUUGUUGGUGGGGUAACGGCCUACCAAGGCGAUGAUCAGUAGCUGGUCUGAGAGGAUGAUCAGCCACACUGGGACUGAGACACGGCCCAGACUCCUACGGGAGGCAGCAGUGGGGAAUAUUGGACAAUGGGCGAAAGCCUGAUCCAGCAAUGCCGCGUGGAUGAAGAAGGUCUUCGGAUUGUAAAGUCCUUUCGGCGGGGACGAUGAUGACGGUACCCGCAGAAGAAGCCCC